AUUGAACGCUGGCGGCAGGCUUAACACAUGCAAGUCGAGCGAGCGGCGGACGGGUGAGUAAUGUCUGGGAAACUGCCUGAUGGAGGGGGAUAACUACUGGAAACGGUAGCUAAUACCGCAUACAAUCAGAUGUGCCCAGAUGGGAUUAGCUAGUAGGUGGGGUAAUGGCUCACCUAGGCGACGAUCCCUAGCUGGUCUGUGAGGGUGACCAGCCACACUGUAACUGAUGCACGGGCCAGACUCCUACGGGAGGCGGCAGAGGGGAAUAUGGCACAAUGGGCGCAAGCCUAAUGCAUCAAUGCAGCGUGUGUGAAGAAGGCCUUCGAGUUGUAAAGCACUUUCAGCGAGGAGGCGUUACUCACAGAAGAAGCACCGGCUAACUCCGUGCCAGCAGCCGCGGUGAUUC
rnacentral:rRNA from 1 species